rnacentral:rRNA from 1 species
GCUGGAAUCGCUAGUAAUCGCAAAUCAGAAUGUUGCGGUGAAUACGUUCCCGGGUCUUGUACACACCGCCCGUCACACCAUGGGAGUCGGAUAUGCCCGAAGCCAGUGACCUAACCGCAAGGAAGGAGCUGUCGAAGGUGGAGCCGAUAACUGGGGUGAAGUCGUAACAAGGUAUC